rnacentral:rRNA from 1 species
CAGGUCUUGACAUCCCUCUGACCGGCUUAGAGAUAAGUCUUUCCUUCGGGACAGAGGUGACAGGUGGUGCAUGGUUGUCGUCAGCUCGUGUCGUGAGAUGUUGGGUUAAGUCCCGCAACGAGCGCAACCCUUGAACUUAGUUGCCAGCAGGUGAAGCUGGGCACUCUAAGUUGACUGCCGGUGACAAACCGGAGGAAGGCGGGGAUGACGUCAAAUCAUCAUGCCCCUUAUGACCUGGGCUACACACGUACUACAAUGGCCGGUACAACGGGAAGCGAAGGAGCGAUCCGGAGCCAAUCCUAGAAAAGCCGGUCUCAGUUCGGAUUGCAGGCUGCAACUCGCCUGCAUGAAGUCGGAAUCGCUAGUAAUCGCAGAUCAGCAUUGCUGCGGUGAAUACGUUCCC